GGUGCUGUGGCAUAGCAGGUAAAGCCACUGCCUGCAAUGCAGGCAUCUCAUAUGGGCUCAGGUUCGAACCCCUGCUGCUCCA
rnacentral:tRNA from 1 species